AUGGCGAAAAGAAAAGAACUGCGAAUGAGUCUCUCUGAAGUCUUGCUCUCUCUCGCUUUGUCACAGCCGGAAUAAUUCAGAAGAAACAAGCGUUUCAUUAAGAAGCAUCUUCCAUCUCUGUGCUUCCUCUGAUUUAAUUUUUCUCACUUCGGUGAAGCUCACCGAUGCUUCCAGAUGUAGGGAGAGUUUUUCUAACUAGCACUUAUUGGUGAUGCAUUCACUGAUGGAGAGAAAUCAGAUUUUUCAGUCAUCGGUCAGAACAGAACAAGCUGAACUUGGAUUCGUCAAGGUUACUUGAAACGGGUUUAAAAACAUUUUAUCAUAUUUCCAGGUUUUUAGUAUAUCGGAGAUCCUAAACUGCCUUUUAAAGUUUUAAAAAAAUCUAAGAAUUGCAAGUUGAGGAUGAAAUAAUUUCCUUUGUCUAUCUGUGUAGAACAAAAAAUGUUUUUUAUAUUUUCCUUUUUCAAGAAACAUACAUACUUUUAAUGUACCCAAGUUUGUCUACCACAACUUAGACCAGCUGUAAAGUUGUUUAUGCCUGAUUCUGACUGUGGUUUUAAGGAAUACGUAACAGAAAUAUCAAUAUUGCACUGAAGAAAUCUUGAAACUUAAAACAUGAACCGUUUUUUCAAGAGCUCUAUCCUCUUUUCUGUCCUCUUUCGUUGCACUGAAAAAUAUCGGAUUCAUUCUCAUUAGCGUCCAGAAGGUGGUGCUGUGCUCCGGAAAGCAUUACUACGCCCUGCUGAAGCAGAGAGAGACGUCAGCAGCCGGCCAGAACACGGCGCUGAUCCGUGUGGAGGAGCUGUGUCCGUUUCCUGUCGAGCCUCUGCAGCAGGAGCUCAGAAAGUAUCCAAACGCUAAAGAGUUUAUUUGGAGUCAGGAGGAACCUCAAAACAUGGGCCCCUGGUCUUUCGUGGCGCCUCGGUUCGAGAAGCAGCUGGCCUGCAAGCUCCGGUUGGUGAGUCGCCCCGCUCUUCCCGCCCCCGCCGUCGGCAUCGGGACCCUUCAUCACCAGCAGCAGGAGGCCAUCCUCACAGCCACGUUUUCAUUAAGCGAAGCUCGAAACCAAACGAAGCAGAACCCGGGCAGCAGUUCUACACUACAGGCUCAGCGGUGAUAAUGCAAUCAACGAAUGUCUUUAAGAGAAUAAUGUUUAAAAUUUGAGUCAUUGUAGUUUAGAGUGUUAAUUUUAAUGUUUUGAAAGCAUUGUCUUAAAUCUUCUCACAUUUUACGCCAGUUUUUUUUGUGUGUGUGUGUUUGAAGUUAGAUUUGUCUGAAUAAAGGCCUUAGAGAUCAUGUUUACAUGAUGAUUGUAGUCCACCUCACUCUUCUGCUUUUUUUUAUGAUUGCAGGGAUGCAUUUACAUAAAUAAAACCUCUACAGGUUCCCUUCUUCAGGAAUCCAAACCCCUCUGGUCAUGUCACUCACAAACGCCUGCAGGAGGCGUCCAUGUUUGUGCUGCUGAAUGCAGAAAGCAUCAGUUUAAGUUGUUAGACGUACAGCAUUAAUCUUGAAGUGUGGCGUGGUGCAAAACGAACGGAGCUCAGAAAGAGAUGAAGCGUUUUCUGAUUAAAUAAUGAAAACUGUUGCAGUUGUAAUUCUGUACGUAGAAGAUGUUCCUUGUUUACACGAAGGCUGUAACUGAAAAAAUACUGACAUCAUGAAAUGUAAAUACAGCAAAACUUUUUAAAUAAAUCUAUUUUCAUGUUU